rnacentral:rRNA from 1 species
AGUUUCCAGUGGAUGACAGAUCCACUUUUCUGCCACCGAAUACAUUAGCAUGGGAUAAUGGAAUAGGACCCUGUCCUCCUAUUUUCAGUUGGUUUUGGCAGCGCGAGGACUAGGGUAAUGAUUAAUAGGGAUAGUUGGGGGCAUUAAUAUUUAAUUGUCAGAGGUGAAAUUCUUGGAUUUAUGAAAGAUUAACUUCUGCGAAAGCAUCUGCCAAGGAUGUUUUCAUUAAUCAAGAACGAAAGUUAGGGGAUCGAAGACGAUCAGAUACCGUCGUAGUCUUAACCAUAAACGAUGCCGACCAGCGAUUAGGAGACGUUGAAUACAAAACACCACCAUCGGCGCGGUCGUCCUUGGCGUCUGUCCCUUUCAACGGGGGCAGGCGCGAGGGCGGUUUAGCCCGGUGGCACCGGUGAAUGACUCCCUAGCAGCUUGUGAGAAA